rnacentral:rRNA from 1 species
UGGGGAAUAUUGGACAAUGGGCGCAAGCCUGAUCCAGCAAUGCCGCGUGAGUGAUGAAGGCCUUAGGGUUGUAAAGCUCUUUCGCACGCGACGAUGAUGACGGUAGCGUGAGAAGAAGCCCCGGCUAACUUCGUGCCAGCAGCCGCGGUAAUACGAAGGGGGCUAGCGUUGUUCGGAAUUACUGGGCGUAAAGGGCGCGUAGGCGGCCUGUUUAGUCAGAAGUGAAAGCCCCGGGCUCAACCUGGGAAUAGCUUUUGAUACUGGCAGGCUUGAGUUCCGGAGAGGAUGGUGGAAUUCCCAGUGUAGAGUGAAUUCGUAGAUAUUGGGAAGAACACCGGUGGCGAAGGCGGCCAUCUGGACGGACACUGACGCUGAGGCGCGAAAAGCGUGGGGAGCAAACA